CAUGUCCUUUUGAGUAUAAUUUAAGGUCUAAUCUGCUCAAUGAAAAUUAAAUAGCCGCAGUAUUCUAACUGUGCAAAGGUAGCAUAAUAAUUAGUUUUUUAAUUGGAAGCUGGAAUGAAUGAUUGAACGAGAAAAUUUCUGUCUCUUUGCAAAUUUUGAUUAAAUUUAACUUUUAAGUUAAAAGGCUUAAAUUUUAUUAAAAGACGAGAAGACCCUAUAGAGUUUUAUUUUAUUAAAAUCAUUUAAGUAUAAAAAUAUUUUAGAAAAUUUAGUUGGGGUGACUUAAAGAUUGAUUAAACUCUUUAAAAAAAUUAUCAUAGAUUUAUGAAUUUAGAAUCUUGAAUUAUAAAUUUAAAUUAAAUUACCUUAGGGAUAACAGCGUAAUUUUUCUUUAGAGUUCUUAUUAAAAGAAUAGUUUGCGACCUCGAUGUUGGAUUAAAAUUUAUUUUUGGUGUAGAAGCUAAAAAAUUAAGUCUGUUCGACUUUUAAAAUUUUACAUGAUCUGAGU
rnacentral:rRNA from 1 species